rnacentral:rRNA from 1 species
ACGCUAGCUACAGGCUUAACACAUGCAAGUCGAGGGGAAACGGCAUUAAGUGCUUGCACUUUUUGGACGUCGACCGGCGCACGGGUGAGUAACGCGUAUCCAACCUUCCCAUGACUAAGGGAUAACCUGCCGAAAGACAGACUAAUACCUUAUGGUCUUCACUGACGGCAUCAGAUGUGAAGUAAAGAUUUAUCGGUCAUGGAUGGGGAUGCGUCUGAUUAGCUUGUUGGCGGGGUAACGGCCCACCAAGGCAACGAUCAGUAGGGGUUCUGAGAGGAAGGUCCCCCACAUUGGAACUGAGACACGGUCCAAACUCCUACGGGAGGCAGCAGUGAGGAAUAUUGGUCAAUGGGCGAGAGCCUGAACCAGCCAAGUAGCGUGCAGGAUGACGGCCCUAUGGGUUGUAAACUGCUUUUGUAUGGGGAUAAAGUCAGUCACGUGUGAUUGUUUGCAGGUACCAUACGAAUAAGGACCGGCUAAUUCCGUGCCAGCAGCCGCGGUAAUACGGAAGGUCCGGGCGUUAUCCGGAUUUAUUGGGUUUAAAGGGAGCGUAGGCUGGAGAUUAAGUGUGUUGUGAAAUGUAGACGCUCAACGUCUGACUUGCAGCGCAUACUGGUUUCCUUGAGUACGCACAACGUUGGCGGAAUUCGUCGUGUAGCGGUGAAAUGCUUAGAUAUGACGAAGAACUCCGAUUGCGAAGGCAGCUGACGGGAGCGCAACUGACGCUGAAGCUCGAAGGUGCGGGUAUCGAACAGGAUUAGAUACCCUGGUAGUCCGCACAGUAAACGAUGGAUGCCCGCUGUUGGUACCUGGUAUCAGCGGCUAAGCGAAAGCAUUAAGCAUCCCACCUGGGGAGUACGCCGGCAACGGUGAAACUCAAAGGAAUUGACGGGGGCCCGCACAAGCGG